rnacentral:rRNA from 1 species
UACGGGGGGGGCAAGCGUUGUUCGGAAUUACUGGGCGUAAAGGGCUCGUAGGUGGCCAACUAAGUCAUACGUGAAAUCCCUCGGCUUAACCGGGGAACUGCGUCUGAUACUGGAUGGCUUGAGUUUGGGAGAGGGACGCGGAAUUCCAGGUGUAGCGGUGAAAUGCGUAGAUAUCUGGAGGAACACCGGUGGCGAAGGCGGCGUCCUGGACCAAUACUGACACUGAGGAGCGAAAGCCAGGGGAGCAAACGGG